AUUGAACGCUGGCGGAAUGCUUUACACAUGCAAGUCGAACGGCAGCACGGGGGCAACCCUGGUGGCGAGUGGCGAACGGGUGAGUAAUGCAUCGGAACGUACCCAAUCGUGGGGGAUAACGUGGCGAAAGUCACGCUAAUACCGCAUACGUCCUGAGGGAGAAAGCAGGGGAUCGCAAGACCUUGCGCGAUUGGAGCGGCCGAUGUCUGAUUAGCUAGUUGGUGGGGUAAAAGCCUACCAAGGCGACGAUCAGUAGCUGGUCUGAGAGGAUGAUCAGCCACACUGGGACUGAGACACGGCCCAGACUCCUACGGGAGGCAGCAGUGGGGAAUUUUGGACAAUGGGCGAAAGCCUGAUCCAGCCAUUCCGCGUGAGUGAAGAAGGCCUCGGGUUGU
rnacentral:rRNA from 1 species